UUGAAAUUAAAAAAGAAAGUGACGUAAUUAUUGAGGAUAGUUUAUUACAUUAUUAUUUAGAUCAAGAAAUUUAUUAAAAUGUGGUAUAUAACUUUAGCACCAAUAAUUAUAAUAGCAGUAUGUUCGACAUUACCAGCGUAUAUAGCACCAUAUAUAAAUAAUUUUAUUGAUGGACAUAAGCAAAAAAGAUUCUAUAAUACUCAUUUAGAAUUAAUAGGAUAUACUAGAGACUAUGAAUUAGGUGAUAAUAAGUACUGGAAUUUUAAGGAUUUGGGAUCCAUUCCAGAUAAAUAAAAGCAUAUUGGCUUAUAUUAAAUAAUAUUCAUUAUUUUAGUGAAGUUAUUAUGUAAAAAUUAUAUUGUAAUAUAUAUAAUGAAAUGUAGUAUAA